CCUACGGGUGGCAGCAGUGGGGGAUAUUGCACAAUGAGGGAAACCCUGAUGCAGCGACGCCGCGUGUGGGCAGACGGUCCUCUGGAUUGUAAACCACUGUCCCCAGGGCGGAAGAUGACGGUACCUGGGGAGGAAGCCCCGGCUAACUACGUGCCAGCAGCCGCGGUAAUACGUAGGGAGCAAGCGUUGUCCGGAAUUACUGGGUGGAAAGGGAGCGUAGGCGGGAUGGCAAGUGGGGUGUUAAAUCUACCGGCUCAACUGGGAGUCGGCUUGAGAACUGGUAUUCGUGAGUGACGUAGAGGCAGGAGGAAGUCCUAGUGUAGCGGUGAAAUGCGUAGAUAUUAGGGGGAACACCAGUGGCGAAGGCGGCCUGCUGGGCUUUUACUGACGCGGAGGCUCGAAAGUGUGGGGAGCAAACAGGAUUAGAUACCCGGGUAGUC
rnacentral:rRNA from 1 species